rnacentral:rRNA from 1 species
CAGUCGAGCGGUAGCACAGAGAGCUUGCUCUCGGGUGACGAGCGGCGGACGGGUGAGUAAUGUCUGGGAAACUGCCUGAUGGAGGGGGAUAACUACUGGAAACGGUAGCUAAUACCGCAUAACGUCGCAAGACCAAAGUGGGGGACCUUCGGGCCUCAUGCCAUCAGAUGUGCCCAGAUGGGAUUAGCUAGUAGGUGGGGUAACGGCUCACCUAGGCGACGAUCCCUAGCUGGUCUGAGAGGAUGACCAGCCACACUGGAACUGAGACACGGUCCAGACUCCUACGGGAGGCAGCAGUGGGGAAUAUUGCACAAUGGGCGCAAGCCUGAUGCAGCCAUGCCGCGUGUGUGAAGAAGGCCUUCGGGUUGUAAAGCACUUUCAGCGGGGAGGAAGGCGUUAAGGUUAAUAACCUUGGCGAUUGACGUUACCCGCAGAAGAAGCACCGGCUAACUCCGUGCCAGCAGCCGCGGUAAUACGGAGGGUGCAAGCGUUAAUCGGAAUUACUGGGCGUAAAGCGCACGCAGGCGGUCUGUCAAGUCGGAUGUGAAAUCCCCGGGCUCAACCUGGGAACUGCAUUCGAAACUGGCAGGCUAGAGUCUUGUAGAGGGGGGUAGAAUUCCAGGUGUAGCGGUGAAAUGCGUAGAGAUCUGGAGGAAUACCGGUGGCGAAGGCGGCCCCCUGGACAAAGACUGACGCUCAGGUGCGAAAGCGUGGGGAGCAAACAGGAUUAGAUACCCUGGUAGUCCACGCCGUAAACGAUGUCGAUUUGGAGGUUGUGCCCUUGAGGCGUGGCUUCCGGAGCUAACGCGUUAAAUCGACCGCCUGGGGAGUACGGCCGCAAGGUUAAAACUCAAAUGAAUUGACGGGGGCCCGCACAAGCGGUGGAGCAUGUGGUUUAAUUCGAUGCAACGCGAAGAACCUUACCUGGUCUUGACAUCCACAGAACUUUCCAGAGAUGGAUUGGUGCCUUCGGGAACUGUGAGACAGGUGCUGCAUGGCUGUCGUCAGCUCGUGUUGUGAAAUGUUGGGUUAAGUCCCGCAACGAGCGCAACCCUUAUCCUUUGUUGCCAGCGGUUCGGCCGGGAACUCAAAGGAGACUGCCAGUGAUAAACUGGAGGAAGGUGGGGAUGACGUCAAGUCAUCAUGGCCCUUACGACCAGGGCUACACACGUGCUACAAUGGCAUAUACAAAGAGAAGCGACCUCGCGAGAGCAAGCGGACCUCAUAAAGUAUGUCGUAGUCCGGAUUGGAGUCUGCAACUCGACUCCAUGAAGUCGGAAUCGCUAGUAAUCGUAGAUCAGAAUGCUACGGUGAAUACGUUCCCGGGCCUUGUACACACCGCCCGUCACACCAUGGGAGUGGGUUGCAAAAGAAGUAGGUAGCU